GAUGAAGAACGCAGCGAAAUGCGAUAAGUAGUGUGAAUUGCAGAAUUCAGUGAAUCAUCGAAUCUUUGAACGCACAUUGCGCCCCUUAGUAUUCCUUGGGGCAUGCCUGUUCGAGCGUCAUGCGAGCCCUCAAGCGCUGCUUGGUGAUGGGCGCUUGUCCCGCCGCGCGCGCGGACUCGCCUCAAAGUCAUUGGCGGCUGGUGCACCGGCUUCGAGCGCAGCAGAAUCGCGCAUCGUGCCCGCGUGCGUCGGCACCCAGAAGCCUCUCCACACUUUGACCUCGGAUCAGGUAGGGAUACCCGCUGAACUUAAGCAUAUCAAUAAGCGGAGGA
rnacentral:misc_RNA from 1 species